AUUGACUUUAAAGUCAUUUUACAAUCGUUCGAAAAAUAUAAAUAGAGAAAAUAUAAUUGAAAACAGGAGAAAAUAUAAUAAAAUCAAUUCUAAAAAGUAUAAAAAUAUCUAUUAUUGGCUUCAAAUCUUCCAAAACAAAAUAAAACAUUUGGUACAAAACAAAGAAAAUCCAUCUGACGAAGAAGUACAGAUAAUUAUAUCUUAUAUGAUAGGUUAAAUUUUAAAACUCGGACAAAGACCUCAAACAGUUAGAAAUUUCACAGUAGAAGAAUAUCUAAAUGGUAGAGAAGACAAUGCAUACUUUUUAGCAGAUAUUAAAAGUGUAGAAACAGGAUACGCCUCUUUUUCUUUGGAAUCUAAAUUCAAUCAAGACAUAUUUCAAUAUUAUUAUGAAAAAAUUAGAAAAUCAAAUUUAUCUCAAUUUAUAUUGACUUCCUCAGUGACAGUAUUAACUAAUCCUAAAGAAAGAAAAUUUUCCAAUAAUGAAGUUAAAUACCGUACAAUACAGACAUCUUGUAUCUACAGCAAUCCAAGAGCAUAUUAACAAUCCGGAAACAAGAAAAAGAUUACAUCAAGAAUUAAACCCUACAGAAAAUGUAGCAAAGAAAAAAUAUAAAUUACAAACAGUUGAAGCUACAAAGAAAAAUCGACGAGAAUUACUAAAAGUAAUAAAAAAAACACUUGUAAAUUAGAUUUAAUAACUAAAAAUAAAUGUUAUUGUUAAAUGUUACUUAUAAUUAAAUAUCUUACAUCUAAUAAUAUUUGU
rnacentral:lncRNA from 1 species